GAGCUUGUCAAAGUACAUGUACAUAAUUUUCAUCAAAAUUUCUUUUACCUCAUUUCCAAUCCUCCAGGAUUAGAUUUAUCAGCAGCUCAUGCGGGGAGAGCUCUGUGCCUGCGUCCGAGCGGCUUUUCCACCUGCGAGCAGGACGCCGGCUGGGAAACACAUGCGCUUGUCUUCAGCCCGAAUGUUUCUCAGGUUCAACCGGUUUUUAACGGACUGCCUCGGGUGCCCGACAAAUUUGAGGCAUCAUUUUUAAAAAUGGUUUUACAGCUCAGUCCGCGCGUCGCUGGGUCGGUGGGGGAGAAGUACCGGUGGCAGCACUAAAGCGGGAGGCAAACGCAAAGAAAGAGAGCUGGGAAUCCAAAGAUUAUUCCCAUUUAAUGUUUAAUUUAUUUAUACUGGGGAAAGAUUAGCAGGCGAGCGCUGAUUUUGAAAUGUCCGGUAUACGCAGUAUUUAAAGGAUGAACUUAAAUGUGAGGAGACGCAAUCAAUGGCAAAGUAAGGGCGAGCAUCAGCGCCUCCUAUCUAAAUUACUGAUUUUCGACCACAGCGCCCAAACGUUUCCAUUUCCCCGCGUGGCUCCGUGCCGCUCCUGGUUUGGAUUAUUUAACAGCAAAUCUCACAGACGCCAGUUUUGCCUUGUUCCGAGGCAACAAGGACAAUAAGUUCCAGCCGACCCCAGGACAAAGGAUCCUGCAGGAGCGCGGUGUGUGUUUUACGCCGGCGGUGAGCAGCUCCCUGGAAUUGGGAGAGGGGGAAGCGUCACCCUGGCCACGCUGGCGACACGGCGCUGUGGCUGGGCAGGGGCAGCCCCAGACCCCGCACACGGGGAGGGGGCGGCCAGCGCAGGAACUUCUCUUUCCUGCCUUUUCACCCUUUUUUUGGCUUUAUUUUUAAACACGGCGUCGUCCGGGCCCGUGUGCACGGUGAGGGCACGUUACGGAGGAGGGGGCGGCAGGAGGGGACGCGCACGGACCCCGGCAGAAGGGGUUUGAUGCUGUUAGCCAAAACACCUCUCUAUUUCUCCAUCUUUUUGUGUCCUGCAUCACCGAACUGCCUGGCUGUACGUACGGCCCCGCGCUGCGUUAGCAGACAGUGUAUUUUAUUACUAGAUUUCUUGUCCCCCUGGCCUGUCCGCUACAGAAAAUCAUUUGAUUCCAAACAGUUAUUUCCCAUUGAACCGUAUUAGCUAAACUGUUACUAUUGCUGCAAAUGGCCUUGAUGCCGAGGAUCAAAUGGGUUUGGUUGCUGAUUGCGGCUACUGGGUUUACACCUGUAACGCAAGGUGUUGGGAUCCAGUUGGCAUGAGGUACUCAGUGUGCGCCAAAGUCCAUGACUUUUCACAAUUUUUAAUCACCGUAAUCCCACAAACUAAUCUUUCUUUGCUGUUUAUCAGGAUGUGGGCUGCUCAGUGCGGAAGGGUCUUCUACUGGAUACGGAAAAGGUUACGUGGAAAAUCUUUUUGAGGACAGAAAUGACCAAUACACCCCAACUGAACGCAAGCCGCCGUGCCGGAGCAUCCAUCAGCCUUUUGCAUCCAUCAGCAUCCAUCCCACCGCCUUUGCCACCCCCUGCACCCACCCCUUUCCUGCCUUUAAAGCAGGGACAUUGCGAGUGGCCAGAAAACACUGGGAUUUUGUCCAAGGCACAGCAGUUUUUGCAGGAAAGAGCAGGGACAGCAGCGUCUGAGCCCGGCUCUCCUCUCCACCAUCCUCAGGGGGACCCUGAUGUUCUCCCCAGCCCCUUAUUUAUUUAUUUCAGCUCCACUCCCGUUGAACUCCAAGCGAAAUUCCUGCUGCUUCGAUGGUACAAGACAGAUCCCGGUUUCCCCAGGAUGUGCAGGAGGAAGGCCCGAAGGUCUCUGAUUUUUAUUUGUGAAAGUGGAAUCAACGUGUGGUGAUGAUGAUUUUAUGGGAUUUCUAAAAAAAAAGAAUGCUUUUUGUCAUCCAGCGUUUGAGCGGUCACCUGUGAUUUAUGCACCAAAGGAGUAAGUAGGUCCAAAGCAGAGGAGAACAAAGCAGCUUUGCUCCGGGUAUCACGUCCGGACUCUUUGUCUGAGUUGCUGCAGCAAUGUCGGAGCUGGAGGGUAACGCACCGCAAAGUUGCCGUGGGAUCAUGCACUGAUUUACUCGGUGAUGUUAUGUGGGGGGGGAUCAAAUCGAACCGGUGUAGUUACCUUAGCAACCACCACAAAGUCUUGUGUUUGUGCUCCCGGACAGAGAGGUUGGGCCAGGGCAUCCCUGGUGUAAAGCCCGGCACCCGCCGCCGAGGGACGGGGCCCUGGGGGAGCUCCCGCAGAGAGGUGGCACCCGAGCUUCCCAGCCUUCGCUGGCGUCGGGGCGACGCGGAAAAGGCUUUUAUUUGCAUUGGCAAAGAUUUCACAGCUCCGUCCCAUUCUGACUUUGGCAGCUUGUUUCUCUUUUCAAAUACCUUCUGUAAUCUAUUACGAUAUAUAGGCCAGUCGUAUUUCCCCCCCUCACUCCAGCCUAUGUCCUCUUUCUAUUUAGGAAUUAAUUAUGAUGCUAUCUCAUAUAACUCAUUAGUAUCAAUUAAUUCUUUCCCUUUCAUGAUUUUAUAUAGCUAAAUUAGAUUGCCUCUUAGGAACUUAAUAAUCAGUAUUGGACUCAUUUAGACGUAUCUUUUUUUCCCUUCUCCACCCAGUUUUACUUGGACAUGAGGAAGUGGAGGCUGGAAAUGCCCCGUCCCCUCUGGUGGGGACAGGACUGGGGUGAUGGCACCACCGCGCCCCGUCUCCUCCAUCCCCACCAGCUCCGGCCUCUUCCAGCGCUGCAGGGCUUGGCCUCACCUCACCCAUAAUUCUGAAUUUUAGCGGUCUUUUUUUUAUUAUUGUUUCUUUAUUUUGGAGCUGCUUAAGACGUUAUUCUUGGUUUAUCAGCAUGAAUAGGAAAUACCCUACUUCCAGCAAUUGGCCAAACCAUCGUGAAUUAUCUUCCCCUUAAACUCGCCGCAGGGACAGAGAGAAACGUCGAGGGAGAUGUACGUUUUCCUCAUUCAUCUUGGUGGGGUGUUAACUUUGAAAUCACAGCGUUGCUGGCAUUCAUAUGUCCGUAUUUAACUGCUUCACUGCUUACUGGCACAUCGAAUCCAUUCAGGGAAAAAAGCAGUAAUAUGAUUGAAUAGAUCUGGCAGGACCUGAUAUUCCCCCUCAUUUUGAAUCUGAUCCAGCAGCCGCAAAGGCAAUUAAAUAACAAGUUUUCGCCGGCAAAAAUGAGUUGCAAAAUGCCCCCAGCUGCAUGAUGUAGGAAAUACACCUUGAUUUUACUAAUUGCCGUGCCUGUACCUCGCCGUGGGGGUAUCCGAGGCGGCUUUGCGUGACCCACUUCAUCUAUUUCCAAUAACCAAGCCGGGGCUGGGCGGUAGCCGAGUGCUGCCGCGUGGGGAUGUGGCAAAAGUUGAGCGGAUUUGCCUUGUUUAAAACAUCGACCGUCACCUCCCUUCGGUGACGCGAAGCUCCGUGUGCUCCUGCCAUCGGCCAGGAAGCGUGCUGGGUCGCAGCCUUUCGCCGCAAAUAACGGCCGGGCUGUUGUGGGUGCCUGUUAGCUUUAGCGAGACGGCAAAACGCAGCCUAAAGAGCAGAAUUUCAGGAGAUCAGCCAGGUCAUUUUAAAGAGCUGCUGCCUCACCAUCCCGGGCUGAAACCGAACCGUCCCGGCAGUGGCACUGAGCAGCCGUGAUCUGCUUUAGCACAACACGACCACCAAAAAGUUGGAAAUCUGUUUAAAGAUGGAGCUGAGAGGGGUGAAAGAAGGCAGCUUUAGGUAAGUUACUGUGGGCUGCGGCAAACUCAUGCUUGUAGAUGUGUACGUGUAGUAAAGGGCGAUAUGGCAUCUCAUUUACAUCGCCUGGCGCUGGAAAAGGAUUACCAAAAGAGGUACCCCCGUUGCAGGACAAAGUUGGCCAACGUUGCUUCUUCCUACAGCAACUUUGGGAGAUCGACGGCUCCUCUCCAGAGGGACUGCUGGAAAUGUCUGUAUUGAUCCCAGAUUUUAUUGUUUCCAUCUUCCCUGCCAGAUCAAACAACGGAGCCAGCGACAGGGAGAGGCAACAGGAGGGGUCUGCUGGGAAAGCAGGCACACGCAAAGCCUUUUUAAUAAGCAGCGUAAGGAGUGUAAUUGCUAAAUCCCAAUUAAGGCAGAUAUGGGUCAAGCGAAGGAAAAAGAAGGGUGGAUUUCUGUGAAAGGAGAGGAAAAGUCAAGAGGCUGAGGCUCGUAGGAUAACUUUAUUUCUGAAUACAUUCAGAUUUGCAACAGCUUUAUCCUCCCAUCGCUCCCUUGGUGUCCGGCUUCUCACCACCUCUGCCCCGGGCUCCCGGCCCGAGCCCCCACUUCAGGGGAACGGCAAGGGGAAAAAAGGCAGGAAAAAAGAAAAAGGCAAAAAAAAAAAAAGGAACUCAAAACUUUACCAAGAGGGCAAAAAAAAAAUUAUUUUUUGAGAAAGCAACAUGUGCUUCCCUUAAAAUUUAAAGAAAAUUCAAUCUAAAAGCCAUUCAGGAUGGCUUUCAAAUAUGAUUUUCACUAGAAAUGACAGAAAAUGUGCUAUCUCAUUUCUCUUCCCCCCCCAUCACCUAAAUGUCUGCUCAUUCUUCUAGGGAAAGAUUAUUCUCAUUAUCAACAAAGUUUAACUAUUAUUGUUCAAAUGUAAGGGUUUUACUGAAUAUGCACUUCCUUUGGCUAAUCAGGGAGCUACCCAGCAUUAUUUAAUCUAUUUACAUUCAUGUAUGCAAUUAUAUUUCAUAAUCUGAUUAUGUGUUUUAUAUCUUUAUAUGGAUGGAAAUGCUGAAUGUUGCAUUUCUUUUUUAUUAUAUGAGUUGUCGAGUUCUUUUGGGAUGGAAAUAAGAGUUCAGUAAGAUUGCGGUGAGAAUGGCAUUAAGUUCAUCAGCUAAAGAGACCCACCAAAAUAGUGCCGGAUGCAAAUGGAAGGACCGUGUUUCUCUACGCAUGUUCUGCACUUGAAGCUAAUAAAUUACAUUCAUAAAGUUAAUACGCAAAGGAGACAUUAUUAUCUAUGGUAAAAAAAAGGAAUAGAUUGUUUCUGGCCAUCACGUCCUUCAAGAUACUAAAAACCAGCAGAUCUCAUCCUUUGAAAUCUAUUUUUUUAUUCACAGGUAGGGAGAGGAAAACACAUUUUCUGCUCUUCCAGCUCCCAGUCGCGUUUCCAGUUUUGAGUGAAUUAGUCAUUGACCUGAACGAGCUGAAUACAUUGAAAUGAAAAAAAAACCCCACUCUGCCAUUGCUGAAAUCACUGUCACCAAGUUUGUCACUGCAGCAGACUCUGACUCCGGGUGCUGAGCUGGUGGCUUCUGCCCACUUGGACACCUGAACCACUUUGAAACGCUCUCGGAAAGUAUCUUCAGCCUAAGACUGCUUUGCAUUUAGUCUGAAGUAUUUCUCUAAGUUAUAAGUGGCUUUGGUCUCCUUCCCGUGGCACCCCUCCGUGCUGACCCAAACUGAUGGGUGCAAUGCCAGCCUCAGCCCGUGGUGGGGCCACGCGCCUUGGCCAACCCGUGUCCACCUGUAACCACCACCAGCACCGUGGUGGGGCCAUUAACCCGUGAAAGAGUAUCCCAGAACUACUUUUAGUUUUUUGUUUAAUGUGUUUUAUCAAUUUUAUUCAUCCGCUAUGAAGUCCGAGGGGCACAAGACACCCAUGAGUGUGGUGGUCUGUACCUGUAGGCGUCAGUCCCCACCGGCAUCCCCCCGUCUCAGCCCACCACCACGGCUUUGCCCUGCCUCACCAGCAGCAAAGCUUUCCCAGUUAGGGGGCAUUAUAGACUUGCAACUCAGAAAUAUUUAAUCUUCACGUUAAAAAUGUGGGGCGGAAUAGUCACUCGGGUCUGACAAUGAAAAGGCUUUCUCUUUUGAUCAUGAUGUCAGAAGAAUGUAGGACAAAGUAGUUUUUUUGUUAAGGUAAAGAGAAAAUUGAAAGCAAUCAUAGAAAACAAUGUAAGUUUGACCUGGAGGACUUCCAGUUGUGACUGCCGAAAUGUUUAUUUUAGCGCCCAAACCUGCUCUUUCUGCUGUCGCUUGUAUUUGAUCUUACUGUAGGCGUGCAAAGUACAGGCAGUUCACACAAACCGGAAAUAUUUACGUCAACGUCCGUGAAGAACAGAAAAUUUCAGCACAGAAACAAAAUAAUCUUUAUUUUCCUAUCUCGGCCUCAAAACGCGGCGUCCCUAUAGCAUGAAGCUGCCGAGUCCUUGCUCUUGCUUUGCCAGCUCCGGCGAACUGGCCUGAAAGCCCGGCAUCUCCUGUGUCCGCUCCUGGCAGAUGAGGCCGUUCGAAGGGCAGCACCGUCCCCAUCACACGUCUUGGGAGGAAAAGCUGUCCUGGUAAUGAUUGUUUCCACAAUAUUUGGGGGCAGCGCCUGGAGAGCAUGAGCUGAUGAUUUGCUUCUGUUAGCUGCUUGCCAGGCUAAUUAAAAAAAAAAAAAAAAAAAAAAAAGUUUAAAAUGGUUUAUUGCAGAUUUCUGAAUUUACGUCAGUAAUGUAAAUGCGUAGCUAAUUGCUCUGCUGUAUAUAUUUAUUACUUUUUGAACCGUUCCAGUUUCUGGGUUGUGGCAUUUUACAGCUAUCGAAAGCAGAGCAUUUUGGACGUCUUUAUGUGUAAUACCGUAAAGAGGGUUUUUCAGGACACCAUUUGUCUCUUAAAAAUGCUGCUCUGGGUCUGUACUUUCCCUGUGCUCAGGACAGGUCCCUCCUCGGGGCUGAGCCGCUGAAGGGUCUUAGCAAGCCCCCGGCCGGGGACGUGCAGCUCUGGAGCAGGGACUAAGGUGGGCGAGGAGGGCUUGGCUUAGACCUCCGUGGAACAGGGAGGCUUCGACAUUAUUUCAGCAGGCCUGAGCCAGUAAAUACUGCUUUGGAGCUGAAAACUAAAAGGCCUGUGAGUACUUUUCCCAUAAGAACCAAUAUUUGUUUCUUUUUAUGUUUUGAUAAACAGUAGGACUUUCUGAAAUGCUCCUGCACAGCAGCCUCUCGAGGGUCUCCCAUCCAUACUGGCUACGCCUGACACCCACCGCACACCUCAGCGGAGGGGCUGGCAGAGACAAGUACAGCAGGGAAAGAGGGUGAAGCGUGUCUCUGCCAGGCGCCCUCUCCGUCCCCCCGGGAUCUGUCUCCUUUCUCUUGCAGAAGAGAGUAGCAGCUCUUGCUUGUAGAUGUCACUGCUCAAUUUGCUGACCCACUGUAACGGCCCUGACUUCUCACCCAACGGAAGCAUAAAAGCCACCAGGACCCAUCCUGUGAAAUGGCAUCCAGGUGGCAACGCGGCCUUUCGGCAGCUCAGCCUGAUUUGGGAUGCAGCGUGGCAAAAGCACCAAAACAAGUCCCUGGUCCCCAGGUCAUGCAGACAUGGUGCUGUGGCCCAAAAAUAAAGCAAGAACUGAAUGAGAAACGCAGAUGUUGAUGAAUGAUUGAAGACCUCUGUCCUUGCAAGAAAACCAAAAUAAUUUUUACCUGACACCCUUCUCUUAUUAGGGUUUUUUAUGCGGAUUUUGUCAGUUGAUUUAACUUCUAAAAAGUUCAAUAGUAAGUUUCUUCUAUUUCCUCCAUCCUCAUUCAAUAAAAAAGACUUCUUCUAUUGCUACUGCAAGCGCCUGUCACUCGUACUAUCAUGACGUGGCUGAGCAGUGGUGAGUUGUAUUAGGAGGCAGGGACGAGACAAUCGGUGAUGCUGUGGGGAGAAGGAGCUGCUGUGGGGCUGUGGCCUCCUUGCCCACGUCACUCAACCCCACCGCACUUCCUCCACCCCAUCCUGUUUUCUAACGUAGAACAAACUUUGGGUCUGGGCCCUGGCACUAGUUCUGCUGCUGACUCUGUUUUACCCUUUUCUGCAGACUUUCUUCUUUCCCUACUCACCUCAGGUCAUUUAACCAAUGAUUUUUGUAUCCAGUCACUUGUCUUGAAGACCUUUGGCACAGGAGGACACAGGUUUUAUUACAGCGCUUCCACUACCAAGGUCCUCUUCCUCCUCAGCAGGAGCAGGACGUUGGCUGUGUGGACCUUCUGGGUUUUGUUUCGGUAUUAAUGCCUCUUCAGCUUCCUUAAAACUGGGGAAGAGAGGUGGUAACCAGGAAUUCUUCAUUUUACAAAGUGCCUAGGAUUUCUGCUUCACUGAUUUCCAGGAAAGAGGGGAGCCCUGAGCCCAUUCAGAGCUGCUCUGGCUGCGUGGUGCCGGCAUGCUGUGACACGUUCUGCCCUCACAGUCCUGUUCCAACAUUUAUCCAAAGGUGUACGUGAUCGCCAUUCCCAUUUCAGGCCAUUUGGACCCUGACUGCUCCCGUGCCCACCCCUCUCUGCCGUUAACCUGCCGAGUGACACAGCUCAGGUGAUUUGUACAGAGACUGUGGUCGAUGGUCGUCACCCAUGGGGGUGAGGACCCACCAGGACCCACCUGGCUUCACCCCUUGGUCCGUCAGAGCCUCUGGCUGGUCCCUACCCGCUGCUUGGCCUUUGCUAAUUUGUCCAGGCUGUGUCUUAAGGGAUGAAGUAAGUGAGGAGAUAGUUGGGGAGAGAUCUUGGAAGUCCUUUUAGCGAUGCUUUGGGUACUACAGUGGUUGUCGGGCUUGUGACUUGCUCUAAGAUGAGACGCAUUGAGGAACCAGAAAGAUGAAGGAGUACCACGGAAUGAAUCUCCGCUCUAUGACAUGGCUCCUACCUUCUUUAGCUUUUAUUUUCCUUUUUUUCAUCUAGCUACAUGUGGCCUGCCGAAAUAGCCCUGUGAGGGGGUUGUUAGAGAUUGUUUGUUUGUUCUUAUUAUUAUUUCUACUCAUUACAGUACUUUCGUGUCUGUGGAGCAAAGCACACAGAAAUUCUUUCUCUCUUCUUUUUUUUUUUUUUUUUUUUUUUUCCCAUCUUGGGACUGGAGCUGUACUAUGGAGGAAGGUGGUGACUUGCAGACCUCUGUGGUGACCCAGCACCCCCCGCCUUGCACCUCGGGUGCAGCAUCGCGCUGCCCGCUGCCACCGAGCCACCGCGGGGGCAAAGCCGUCCCUGGGCACCCGUUCCCACAACAGAACUCCACAUCGCAAGGAUGGAUAUCAUUAAAUACAACUUUAUUGGGUUUCAUUGUACAAUUUUCUUUUCAUGUCUUCCUCCUUUCUUCUCUCCACCUUCCCCUUGGUGUCUCCAUCAUACGUUUCACCGUAGAUACAGGGCAACUGUAAAGUUUGUUGGCCGUAUGACCCAGACCGGUUCCAGCCUGCUUUCCCUUUUCUCAGUUGGAUUUUUCUUUUUCAGGUUCGACACAAUAAGCACUCUGUCAUUUUUGCCUGGUGGGAGCAGAGGAGCUGUCAGAUACUUUCCUUGCACCCUGGGCACCCCCACUUGGUCUGUUCUGGGGUAGUUGCUGCCUUUUGUUACAAAGUCAUUUCUCAAACAGUUUAAUUUAUCCCAAGGGCUAUUGCCAAGUUACGGAUGGGGAUGUGUCGCAGGUGGUGGAUUGCUCUAGGACUUGUCAUUCCUGGCACAAAACGUACGGGAUUUCUUCUGUUGUAUUUUCUUUGCAUUGAAACUUAGACAAACCAUUUAGACGCUCAUUAUUCCGACCUUUGAAACAAACCUAAAAGGAAAAGCGCCGAUAGGCGUCGUGCAGGCUUUCAUCCCCAUAAACCGUCUUAUUUUUUAGUGGGAUGCAUCUGAUUAUGCCGCCGUUUAAACAAGAUACACAGAUACAUACUCAAAGCGGAACAAUUUUCAAUGCAUCAUAAUAACGAUAAUCCAAAGUGCUCUAUAUUUUUAACAUCUAUUUUUGUCAAGCGUGAAAACUAUGGAAAUACUGGAGAAGAGAGGAGGCAUAGUUAAAUAUCCCGGUUUGCCUUCUUUGUAAAUUGUGACUACAGUAAGGUGCACCUUCUCAUCACACUCCAUCACUUAAAUGCUGAGACACAGGGUGACAAAGGAGAGACUCGGGCACACGGCGUGUCCUUGGGCAGAAUAGGGACGUACCCAAGUACAGACAUUUACUUUGGAGCUCGGAGUUUCUCAGUGCCCUCUCGAAGUCGUCAGCAGCCCUCUGCUAAAGACAGGAUAAAACUUGGGUAACGAACUCCCCGCUUUCCUGGGAUUACCGGGCAGCCAGACCCAUAUUCCGGUAGAAAUUCUCUUUUUGUGGUGGUCACCGGAGGAUGCGGGCAGAGGUUGGGCAGGGGAGGGGAACCCAGCCCUGUGCUCCGGGCUCAGCAUCGUCACCGUCACCCACCAAACCACCCUCCCACCGCGAGGCCGCGGCGUCCCCGCCGCCCCGCGUUCUUAUUUCAAGCACAUUAUACGUACAUCGCACGUACUACGGUCCAGAGGAUGAAAUAGUUGCGUUCGGUAUUAUAAUUAGCAAAAAGCAUUUUCUUCCUUAUCAGCGUUCAAAAGACGAGUACGUCGACCUUCGGUGUCAAAGCGCCGCACGGAAAAUUUGGGUUGUGCUCUGUUUAAAAUAACUUUUC